rnacentral:rRNA from 1 species
GACGAACCGUGCAAACGUUGUUCGGAAUCACUGGGCUUAAAGGGCGCGUAGGCGGGCAAUCAAGUCAGGGGUGAAAUCUUUCGGCUUAACCGGAAAAUUGCUUUUGAUACUGGUUGUCUCGAGGGAGGUAGGGGCAUGUGGAACUUCCGGUGGAGCGGUGAAAUGCGUUGAUAUCGGAAGGAACGCCGGUGGCGAAAGCGACGUGCUGGACCUCUUCUAACGCUGAGGCGCGAAAGCUAGGGUAGCAAACGGG